AGAUGACAGAUUGCGACGAUUUCGUCUUCCACCAUCGUGCACGUUACCCCGACACUAUGAUCCGUCCAUCACUUGUCGUCGGACUGUUGCUGGUCAUAGCGAUGAUUACAAUGAUCACAGCGCAUGGCAGUAGGUCCUGCAGCGAGAACAUCAUCCCUGUUCCCUGGCCAAUCAGCACCAGUUCAGGGGGCAACAGCAACUCUGGUGGAGGUUUUCUCUCCAAAGCUCUCUUGCUGGGGCUCCUGAAUCGUGGAGUGGUCGUCAAUGCCCAGCCUGUGGGCAAGUAACAGGCUACCAGGCAGCAGACGGGAGAGGAACUCUACCGUGAUUGCCACCUGUAGGAUCUGUCAGCAUGCCUUUUGUGCAUGUGUACGAUCGCCAUACAGAAACCUACCUGCAUGUACACUUGACCUCCUUCAUAAUUAGUUUCUCUGUGUAAUUUAGUGACACGCAAUUUUGAACCCCCUGAAAUAAAUACUAU